AUAUAUAUAUAAGAUACAACAUUAGGGUUAGGUUUAUAUAUCAAGUCAUUUAUAACUAAUGGGCCAUAUAAUAGGCAUCCACAUAUUUUACAAUAUUAUUCAUAACACUCUGCCUUGGAUGACUAUUAUGAAAAUGUGGUCUCAAAUGUGCAUGUGAGACGAUGAUGCCUCGUUA
rnacentral:sRNA from 1 species